GACGGAGGAUGCAAGCGUUAUCCGGAAUGAUUGGGCGUAAAGCGUCCGCAGGUGGCAGUUCAAGUCUGCUGUCAAAGCUCGGAGCUUAACUCCGAAUCGGCGGUGGAAACUGAACAGCUAGAGUGCAGUAGGGGUAGAGGGAAUUCCCAGUGUAGCGGUGAAGUGCGUAGAGAUUGGGAAGAACACCGGUGGCGAAAGCGGUCUCCUGGGGCAUUCUUGACGCUGAGGCGCGAAAGCUGGGGGAGCAAACGGG
rnacentral:rRNA from 1 species